CUGAGGAUAAGUUUUCGACGCUCCAGCAUCGGCCUUGGACUCAAAAUGAUGCUCCUCAUCAGACAUGGUGACGAUGGGUUGGCUGGUAGCUAGCUUCGAAAACGAGAGACUAUGAGAAGAACAGAGAAGGGAGAGAUAAAAAGCAGGGAGAGCGAGAGGGGAACUGAGAUUUGUGGUAUUUAUAGGGGUAAAUAGGGAAGAGAGCAAAUAUAAAAGGAUCUAGGGUUCUUUGUUUUUCUAAAGCUGGCUUUUGUGUGAUUAAGCGAGUUUGG
rnacentral:misc_RNA from 1 species